GAUGAACGCUAGCGGCAGGCCUAAUACAUGCAAGUCGGACGGGAUCCAUUGAUAGCUUGCUAUCAAUGGUGAGAGUGGCGCACGGGUGCGUAACGCGUGAGCAACCUGCCUCCAUCAGGGGGAUAGCCUCUCGAAAGAGAGAUUAACACCGCAUAAUAUCAACAGUUCGCAUGUUCAGUUGAUUAAAUAUUUAUAGGAUGGAGAUGGGCUCGCGUGACAUUAGCUAGUUGGUAGGGUAACGGCUUACCAAGGCGACGAUGUCUAGGGGCUCUGAGAGGAGAAUCCCCCACACCGGUACCGGGGCACGGACCAGACUCCUACGGGAGGCAGCAGUAAGGAAUAUUGGGCAAUGGGCGGAAGCCUGAACCAGCCAUGCCGCGUGCAGGAUGACUGCCCUAUGGGUUGUAAACUGCUUUUGUCCAGGAAUAAACCUAAAUACGAGUAUUUAGCUGAAUGUACUGGAAGAAUAAGGAUCGGCUAACUCCGUG
rnacentral:rRNA from 1 species